rnacentral:rRNA from 1 species
CAGUCGCCACGGGAAUACGUAGGUGGCGAGCGUUGUCCGGAAUCAUUGGGCGUAAAGCGCGCGCAGGCGGAUAGGUCAGUCUGUCUUAAAAGUUCGGGGCUUAACCCCGUGAUGGGAUGGAAACUGCCAAUCUAGAGUAUCGGAGAGGAAAGUGGAAUUCCUAGUGUAGCGGUGAAAUGCGUAGAUAUUAGGAAGAACACCAGUGGCGAAGGCGACUUUCUGGACGAAAACUGACGCUGAGGCGCGAAAGCCAGGGGAGCGAACGGGAUUAGAUACCCCAGUAGUCCCUGUCUCUUAUACA